rnacentral:lncRNA from 1 species
AAUUACUUUCCACUUUGCUUUUUCGAAUUUGGGGAGAUGGCUGAGAGCCCAAUCUGUUGCCCAUCUGCUGUGUUUUGAUACCCAGACGAGAAGGCUAUUUAAAAAGGCCGAGUGCAGGAGGUACUGAGCAAGGCACCUGUUGAGAAGUCCUAGGAGAUACUUGGCAGCUUUUAAUGUUUAACGACAAUGAAGCUAUCUUGCAGUUUGCUCUUCAGGAAGAACUGCAAGGCAUCAGCUCAGGAUCACAAAGAUCUUACCGUCUCAUCAGUUCAUGCAGAUUAAUUGAAGGACAAGCAACACCCCAAAAAUCUCACCUUGAGUUUGCUGAGAUAGAUGUGCUCUGGGAGGUUGGAUUUCUGGGUUGUAAGCAGCCCAGGACAGCAGCCCUUCCAGCUGUGUAUCCAGCAAGCAGAGCGCUCUGGCUAGCCACGAGCCUGUUUCUGGCCACUUUAAUUUGUCAGGUUUCUCACAGCUUGUGUUUCCCUCAAGUCACUUCGACAGCAAGAACAAGCUUGUUUGCUCUGCCAGCUUCCUUAAUCAUAAAAGUUCACUUUGACUUGACAACUCUUAGAGAAGCGGAACAGUAGGAGAAAAAAAUAUGAAAAAAAAAUAAUGAAAAAAGGACCGAAGAUUGCUUGAGACUGCAGUGUUUUUGUUCCAGAGUGCAUGACUUGCAUUUAAGUCACUACAGCCUCACUGACACUUUGCCUCUGCAUUUAUUUAAUGUAUUAAAGCAAAAAAAAAAAAGGAAAUGCCUAGGAUGGUAGCCAUUACGUGUUAGGAAUGACUGGUCAGGGGUGGAGAAGUGCUCCUGCUACAGAACACGCUCUACUGCCAGGCUGCGAGGAGAGGCAGUGGGCUCUGCAUCGUGACAGGUCUGAACGGGUGGGAAGCUUCCUUCGUGUGUGCUCAACAGGAAGAUCUGGGAAGCGCUGGGAAGUGGUAUUUCUGCUCUUCCUUUGUGAGGAUUUUCAGGUUGAAAAACCAGGGGCAACACCGACUGCUGCCAGCGGCGGAGGACACAGCUGACAUCCCUGAGGGCGGUGGCCCAGGGCACCCGACCUCGCGCCCGUGUUCCCCAUCGGGUGGCCGCACACCUGGCUCCCUCUGGCAGCCUGCCCACCCCUUUUUUUUUUGCAGUUUGAGGGAGGUUAGUGGUCAAUGGCAAAAGUUCCUGCUUGAGAAAGGACUUUUGGGUUACAUGCAAAAAAAAAAUCAGCUUUUUGGUUGUUGUUUAUACAGAAAUAUCUUUCAAUGUCUCUUGGGUUUUCUGUAAAAGGGAAACAAACCCCAACCUCUCCCCUUGCCUCCCUACAUCUCGG